ensembl:lncRNA
GUACGCCAGGUGUACGCUGGAAAUUUGUUGUACGCACUUUUGAUAAAUGAGGGCCAAUGUGCGUGCGGAUGUUUAAUCUGCCCACUGUUACCGUGAGCAACGAAGUUGCCUUCGUGCACAGCAUCUUAUCCACACGCGGUGCUGUCAAAACCCUAGCAAGUUGCCCUGUUCUUGAACAUCUAGGAGACUGGGAUCUCAAACUCAACCUCGAUGACUGUUUCAAGACUGACAACAAGGUCAACGGAUAUGUGCAACAGAUCACGAAUGAGGAGCACACGCCUGGUGUGGAUAAGCUUCGAAUAGCUCAUGAACGCUAAUGAUGGUAAGGCGUUCAAGUACUGGGCAAAUGAGAGAAUGUCAGAAGAGGUUGCCUAUAGGAAAUCUGAAGUGUUUUCCACGACAUAAUCUUGGCAUUGUCGGCAGAAUUGGCAUCGGGCUGGCUGGCUGUCAGCUGCAGAAGGCGCCGUGGGUCGGGUCGCACAAACAACACGUGGCCACAUUGAGAGGGCCAACCGUGGGAGUUGAGGAGGCAGGCAGGAUUCGUGAUACCGGCUCGACGGCCCGAGGGACUGCAUGGACGAAUCCACCGCGCCGGGUCACCCUCAGUAGGAGAAGAAGACUGCUGUGGGACAGGACCGGGCGGCUUUGAAUUUAGCUGUAUGAGUGUGCCCCGCGAGUACCGCCUCAGAUAUAGACUUUGGGGGACAGCACGGGUGGGGUACCGCCUCAAAUAUAGACUUUGGGGGACAGCACGGGUGGGGACUGAAUGAGUGGCCGCCUCUCACAGGUGUGUGGGAGUCCACUGCUGUGGGAUAGUAGAGCGUGAAUGGUUACGGCCAAGAGUGGGAGAGUAUAGCACUCACCUGCUAGGAGGAGUAUUGAGGAGUAAGUCAAGGAGUGUCUAGGUGGAGACAGAAUUGUGUUAAAUUAUCUUGUGUCACGGAGAAGGGAGUCUGAGAAAGAGGAGGAGUAGACAGAAGUGUUGAAGAGAAGUGUUGUGUUGUUUGCUAUCAAAGUGAGGCAAGCUGAGAAAGGUGGGAGCAGAGAGAGUUGGGGUGAAAUGAGUUGUUUGAGUGAAAGGAGUUGUUAAUAAAUGGGAAGAGUAGGUCAGAGAAUGUGGUAUGAGAAGAAGGACAGGCUAAGAAUAUGUAGAAAAUUUGUCCCAGAGAGGUAUAAAGUGAAUGCGAGUAGAAUCACAAUCAUUAAAUUUUGUUCAUAAUAAGAGGAAGUGCAAAUAAAGUGGAGCUUGUUUGGAUUGAAGUUGGACCGAUUCAAAUCUGGUCUAGUUGGCCAUACUAUAAUGUAAUUGUAGUUAAACAGUUAAAGCAGCAGUGGAAAGGGUUUUGGUUUGCUGACCCAUAUGGACACACAAAUACUAUUUGAAGAGCUGCCAGAGAAACGUAGAUUUUGUUUUCCAAUUGACACGCAUACUUAUCCAAUUGGCUGUAAUAUUAUUGUCACCACCCAUUCGGCAUUAAUACUGAGGAUAGUAGAGACCACUGAGCGAGACCCAGAUACAAGAGAAAUAGUAAUAAGACAGCAGCUUUGGGGAAUUCAAGAUAAAAAAGUUGUAUGGGUUCAGGUGGCAGGAGAAAAAAUUUGGUCUAGUCUUCCAGAAUUAGAUGUACCAAUAAUUAGGCAGAAGCAAAGACCAGGAGAUAAAGUGUGGUUUUAACCAUAGGCGCCGAUUUAUGUUUUCCUCCGUGGGUGCUCAUAGGCGCACGCC